rnacentral:rRNA from 1 species
UCGGGAUAUACCUGAAAGCAUGCCUGCUUUGGUGUCUAUU